UACUCCUACGGGAGGCAGCAGUGGGGAAUAUUGGACAAUGGGCGCAAGCCUGAUCCAGCCAUACCGCGUGGGUGAAGAAGGCCUUCGGGUUGUAAAGCCCUUUUGUUGGGAAAGAAAUCCAGCUGGUUAAUACCCGGUUGGGAUGACGGUACCCAAAGAAUAAGCACCGGCUAACUUCGUGCCAGCAGCCGCGGUAAUACGAAGGGUGCAAGCGUUACUCGGAAUUACUGGGCGUAAAGCGUGCGUAGGUGGUCGUUUAAGUCCGUCGUGAAAGCCCUGGGCUCAACCUGGGAACUGCAGUGGAUACUGGGCGACUAGAGUGUGGUAGAGGGUAGCGGAAUUCCUGGUGUAGCAGUGAAAUGCGUAGAGAUCAGGAGGAACAUCCAUGGCGAAGGCAGCUACCUGGACCAACACUGACACUGAGGCACGAAAGCGUGGGGAGCAAACAGGAUUAGAUACCCUGGUAGUCCACGCCCUAAACGAUGCGAACUGGAUGUUGGGUGCAAUUUGGCACGCAGUAUCGAAGCUAACGCGUUAAGUUCGCCGCCUGGGGAGUACGGUCGCAAGACUGAAACUCAAAUGAAUUGACGGA
rnacentral:rRNA from 1 species